GACGAACGCUGGCGGCGUGCCUAAUACAUGCAAGUCGAGCGGAACUGGGGGAGCUUGCUCCUUCCAGUUUAGCGGCGGACGGGUGAGUAACACGUGGGCAACCUGCCCUGCAGAUCGGGAUAACUCCGGGAAACCGGUGCUAAUACCGAAUAGUUUGGCGCCUCUCCUGAGGCGCUACGGAAAGACGGUUUCGGCUGUCACUGCAGGCUGGGCCCGCGGCGCAUUAGCUAGUUGGUGGGGUAACGGCCCGCCAAGGCGACGAUGCGUAGCCGACCUGAGAGGGUGACCGGCCACACUGGGACUGAGACACGGCCCAGACUCCUACGGGAGGCAGCAGUAGGGAAUCUUCCGCAAUGGACGCGAGUCUGACGGAGCAACGCCGCGUGAGUGACGAAGGUUUUCGGAUCGUAAAACUCUGUUGUGAGGGAAGAACACGUACCAACUAACUAUUGGUACCUUGACGGUACCUCACCAGAAAGCCACGGCUAACUACGUGCCAGCCGCCGCCGUAA
rnacentral:rRNA from 1 species